rnacentral:rRNA from 1 species
CCUACGGGUGGCAGCAGUGGGGAAUAUUGCGCAAUGGGCGAAAGCCUGACGCAGCGACGCCGCGUGAGGGAUGAAGGUCUUCGGAUCGUAAACCUCUGUCAGCAGGGAAGAACGGUCACUGUGCUAAUCAGCAGUGACUUGACGGUACCUGCAAAGGAAGCACCGGCUAACUCCGUGCCAGCAGCCGCGGUAAUACGGAGGGUGCGAGCGUUAAUCGGAAUUACUGGGCGUAAAGCGCUCGUAGGCGGUAUGUCAAGUCAAGGGUGAAAUCCCCGCGCUCAACGUGGGAACUGCCUGUGAAACUGGCAAACUGGAGUGUGUGAGAGGAUAGUGGAAUUCCAGGGGUAGGAGUUAAAUCCGUAGAUAUCUGGAGGAACAUCAGUGGCGAAGGCGACUAUCUGGCACAUAACUGACGCUGAGGAGCGAAAGCGUGGGUAGCAAACAGGAUUAGAUACCCGAGUAGUC